AGCAGCCGCGGUAAUUCCAGCUCCAAUAGCGUAUAUUAAAGUUGUUGUGGUUAAAAAGCUCGUAGUUGAACCUUGGGCCUGGCUGGCCGGUCCGCCUCACCGCGUGUACUGGUCCGGCCGGGCCUUUCCCUCUGUGGAACCCCAUGCCCUUCACUGGGUGUGGCGGGGAAACAGGACUUUUACUGUGAAAAAUUAGAGUGCUCCAGGCAGGCCUAUGCUCGAAUACAUUAGCAUGGAAUAAUAGAAUAGGACGUGUGGUUCUAUUUUGUUGGUUUCUAGGACCGCCGUAAUGAUUAAUAGGGACAGUCGGGGGCAUCAGUAUUCAAUUGUCAGAGGUGAAAUUCUUGGAUUUAUUGAAGACUAACUACUGCGAAAGCAUUUGCCAAGGAUGUUUUCAUUAAUCAGGAACGAAAGUUAGGGGAUCGAAGACGAUCAGAUACCGUCGUAGUCUUAACCAUAAACUAUGCCGACUAGGGAUCGGACGGUGUUAUUUUU
rnacentral:sRNA from 1 species